GCGCUCUACCACUGAGCUAUAGCCUCAGCCCUGGGUUCUUUUUUUAAUAAUUUCUAAUUUAAAAAUUUUCAUUUUACUGUAAGACUGUGGUCUGUGCAAUGCUGAUUUUCUGGGCAUUUGUUUUUCAGACUUCCUAUGGCCGAUUUCCAAGCACAUGUGGCAUGCUUACAAAACAAGCAUGUACUAGACCACAAGGCAAAUCGGAACAAAUGAUAAAGAAUCAGGAUCAUAUUAACCACUCUCUCUGAACGCAGUGCAUUUAAAUCUGAAAAUAAUAACAAAAUGAUACCUUAAAAAAGUAUCUGAGCCGGUUGUGGUGGCGCACGCCUGUAAUCCCAGCGGCUCAGGAAGCUGAGGCAGGAGGAUCACCAGUUCAAAGUCAGCCUCAGUAAAAGUAAGGCACUAAGCAACUCAGUGAGACCCUGUCUCUAAAUAAAAUACAAAAUAGGGCUGGGGUUGUGGCUCAGUGGUCAAGUGCCCCUGAGUUCAAUCCCCAGUGCCAAAACAAAACCAAAAAACAUAUCUGGAUCAACAUACCCCUGUUCCAUCCACCAGCCCUCCUACCGAGCCUUUGGUAACUAUCUUUCUCUUUCUACUUCUAUGAGUUCAACUUUUUUGUAGAUUUCAUAUGUGAGAUUAUGCAGUAUGUUUUCUAAUGUGCCAGGCUUAUUUCACUUAACAUAAUGUGAAGAGGGGAUCCAACAUGGCGGCGAGAGGGGAGGCAGCGCUUUCAGUACCUCCUCAACAACGGGGUCAGAGAGACAACAUGGAUACGCUUAGAUUCGACCUGCUGAGAAACUCACUUAACAUAAUGUCCUCAAAGUUCCCCUGUGUUGUCACAAAUAACAGGAUGUCUGCCUCCCUUUAAAGUUGAAUAGUAAUUCACUAUAUAUAUAUACAUAUAUAUAUAUAUAUAUCUCCCACAAUUUUUUUUCCAGUGCUGGGGAUUGAACCCAGGGCCUCUUGCAUACUAG
rnacentral:lncRNA from 1 species